rnacentral:rRNA from 1 species
AGCCUAGCUUGCUAGGUGAAUUAGUGGCGGACGGGUGAGUAAUAUAUCGGAACGUGUCCAUUAAUGGGGGAUAACUAGUCGAAAGGCUGGCUAAUACCGCAUACGCCCUGAGGGGGAAAGCUAGGGAUUCUUCGGAACCUGGCGUUAAUGGAGCGGCCGAUACCUGAUUAGCUAGUUGGUGGGGUAAAGGCCUACCAAGGCAACGAUCAGUAGCUGGUCUGAGAGGACGACCAGCCACACUGGGACUGAGACACGGCCCAGACUCCUACGGGAGGCAGCAGUGGGGAAUUUUGGACAAUGGGGGAAACCCUGAUCCAGCCAUUCCGCGUGAGUGAAGAAGGCCUUCGGGUUGUAAAGCUCUUUCGCAAGGGAAGAAACGAUAUAGGUUAAUAGCUUAUGUUAAUGACGGUACCUUGACAAGAAGCACCGGCUAACUACGUGCCAGCAGCCGCGGUAAUACGUAGGGUGCAAGCGUUAAUCGGAAUUACUGGGCGUAAAGCGUGCGCAGGCUGUUUUGUAAGUCAGAUGUGAAAUCCCCGAGCUCAACUUGGGAACUGCGUUUGAAACUACAAGACUAGAAUAGGUCAGAGGGGGGUAGAAUUCCAUGUGUAGCAGUGAAAUGCGUAGA